rnacentral:lncRNA from 1 species
AAUCAUAUUUGUAUUUGCUUUUAUUUGUUUAUCAAACUUUUUGGGUACUAACUGAAAAUCAUUAUCCUAGGUACUAUGGUAAAACAGAGUUUAGCAAAAAAUGGUGAAAACUUCUGAAACGUUGCAUCAAAGAAACCAGUCUGUCUCAUGUCACUAAACUAACACAAUGAUAAAACACAACAAAAUGCUUAUAACAAGGGACAGACACUCAACACACUCUUUAGGCAUAGACUGAUUUUAAUGGGGAAAAAGUGGAAAGGGGAAAGGAUUUUUUGAGAAUAUGACCUUUAAACUGGCCUUUUUAGAGAUAAGUAAGGAAAGGGAGUUUUGAAGCUGAGAUAAUGCCCCACCUCAAUGUCCAUUCAGCAUCUUACACACAUUUCCUGUGUUCUUUGCUGAGCCUCAAGGAUAUAGCAGAAAAAGACAUAAACCUGGACUCAAGGAGUUUUCUGCCUCAUUUGAGUCAUUCAAAAAGACAUUAAAUUAAUACAAAGUAGCUGGACAUGAAAGAGAAUCCUGUGUUAGCUGAUUCCACUCUAGGCAAAUGGCCUGUCCAAAUUUAAUUCUCUAUUGAUGGUACUUCUUGGAUUAGAUUUGUAUUGUUUUCAGUAACAGCAAAGGUGGAAGUCUGCAAAGCGUAGCCUUUCUUAUCUACUAUCUUCCCUACCUAUAAUCUUUCCACUUUAUGCCCAGGUCACCCCUCUCUAGAAUGAAUUUUCUAGUCCUUCUUUAGUCAAGUUUUGACAGUUUAAUCCAUUGGAAACACUGUGUUCCUGGAAGCCCCAGACCAGGCUCCUGUUGCAUUGGCAAUUUGGUGUAGUGUUCCUGAAUAGCAGAUCCAGAUUAUGUGGUUGACAGUGUGAUCCCUUGGGGAUACCCUGUGUCUUAAUGCUCUGUGACAUCAGAGGACUCACCUCACCUCUCUGAACUUCAGUGUCCCUACCUGUAAAGUGAAGAUAACUUGGGGGGGGGGUGUAAUUUGUAGAAGAAAAGUAGCUGCUCUAAAAAUUAGAAAAAUCUCAACUCUAACCCUGGCUGUAUCCCUAUUUUUUAUUGGGAAAAAUCACAUUAUGCUGUGUAAUGCCUAAGUUUUCCAUUUAAGGGAAAAUACAUGAAGAUUAAAUUUAAAACAGAUCAACAAUGUAACCAAAUAAGCCAUAUUGGUGAAGAGACAAGGGUAGAAGGAGGCCAAAUGAUUGCUUGACUGAACAACUGAUUAUUUGAUUCGGUUGACCAGAGUAAUCAGAACCAUCUCUCUAGUAGCCAAGGGUGUGUACAAUCAAAACAAUUUUAGAAAAGGGACCUCAAGAACAUCUGCUCAUUUGGACUGAUGUAGACAAAUUACGGUUGACUAAAUGCUUUGAUAUCUUUUAAUCCUAGUUGAAGCUUUUAGGGGGAAAAAAAACAGUAUAGUGAAAUUCAUGGGCUUUAUUAAGCCUUGGAGAGUAGACAAAAUUGUGUCCCUACAUAUUUAUUUAAAACUUCUGAUGUCCAUUCAUAAUCCAAAUACAAACUCAGUCAUUUGUAUUUCUUAUUUUUCUUUAUAUGAGAGCAAAAGGAGCAUGUUAAUAAUAAAAAAAAAUAAUGAAGAAGAAACAAAAAGAAAGAAGGCGCCCUCUCUUCUUUCCUUUCUGUUCCACUUAACAUGCCUUGUUUUAUUCUCAUUACCUCGUUCCUCUCUCCCCCUUCUUCCCCAGACUAACUUUUGGGUUUUCAUUUCCUGGAAAAGAAUUCAUCUCUUUUUUCUUAUUGGUCACUUUGUAAUUUCCCACAAAGAUACUCUGAUGUCUCAGCUUGAGUUACGUCCUCACCCUUGGUGCAAUCAUCAGUGACCUCUGACUAGUUCCAAGUUGCUGGGACUCUUAACCUAUGAAUGGAGAAGAGAAGCAAGGUUGAGCAGACAGUCUAAGCUGCAUCUGCUAAAAGUAUUUGACUCUGUUUACAGAGCAAUUCAUUGUUGAAUGAGGAUUUGAGCUCAGGUCUCUCUGGUUCUAAGUCCAAGGUGCCUUUACCACACGAUGAUGCCACCCUGCUUUUGAAUUUAAAGAAAGAGUAUACAAGUUUCUCCAUACAUCAUGGGCAUCUAAACUUUUUCCAUUAGAGAGACUCAAGCUAAAUGAAUCCUAGAUAGGCAUUUACAUCAAUCACAAUUGUUGGGUUUCCAUUUCAUAAUUACCAUGCAGGCAAGCAUAAUAAUAACAAUAAUGAUAAUAGCAAUAACCACAUUUAUACAACUUUUACUAGGUGUCAGGCAUUCUCCUGAAUUCUUCACAUGUACAAACUGGAUAAACCCUCCUAAUAACUCUACUAUGUCAGUAUUAUCACAUGAUCUCCAUUUUACAGAUAAAACUGAGGUGAGGAGAGUGGAAGGUAUCAGGCAUUUCACUUCACUUAAUCUUUUAUUGGAAAAAUUUUAAGGAACACAAUACAUUAAUUGUGAACAACAUAAGAUAUGAUGAUACAAAUUUUAAGGAACAGGAAAGCUUUAACAAUUACAUAAAAUUCUGUGCUUAUAGUUCAUCAUGUGCUUUAUUAUUAAAAAAAAAAAAAGCCCAAACAAUAUCAGAAAGAACAGAAGCCUAUCCCACCCCUAUUCUUUGAUUAAAAACUCUGAAAAUUGAGGUCAUUGCCCCCACAUUUGUGGAGACAGCUCCCAAGUCAUCAGUACUGGCCUCUGAAGAUUUUAGAAGAGGGAAGACAUGGGGUAUUUGACUAUUAUAUCAAAUUUCCUAGGGCCACCAUAACAAAUUACCACAAAUUAUGUUUCUUUCAACAAUGAAAUGUAUUCCCUCAGAAUUCUGGAGCCUGGAAAUUGGAAAUAGAGGUGUCAGCAGGCCCACACUCCCUCUGGAGGUCCUAAGGGAGAAUUUUGAUUGCCUCUUCCAGCUUCUGGUGUCUCCAAGCAAUUCUUGGCUUGUGUUGUGUAUAUUUCCCCUACUGUCCUUGGAGGUAGUAUCCACUGAGGUAUUUUUGAAUGCCCUUACCUCACAAUAUUUCAUUUAAUUAGACCUUCAAAGACUUUUUUCCCAAAUAAGAUCACAUUUACAGGUUUGCAGGCUAGGACAUGGACAUACGUUAAGAUGAAUAGACACCAUGCAACCAGCCGUCAAUAAUUAUGGAAGUCCUUUCCAAUUUUUCUAAGAAUUUAGUUGUGUGCAAACACAAUUCUGAAUAAUUUCCUUAUAAUGGAGGUAAUUCUCCAGAGCUUUACAAUGAAUGCCCUGGGGCCAGUAUCAAAUAAAGGAACCUCAUCUAGGAAGAUAAAUGAUUUUGAGUAACAGAGAGGCUUGUUUUGACUCACUAGGGCAAGAAUAAAAUAGACAUGUAAACUUCCACUCUCCCUCUCUAAAAUAAAAUACUAACUUUCUUAACUACAAUUUUGAAUUGGCAAAACAUGCAUUCAGACUUAAUUAAGAUCAUAGGUUUUAGUUUUCACUCUUUGACAGGCUUUAGAAAGCCAUUCAGAUGUGCUAACUUGGCAAAGAGAAAUAAAACCAAGGGGAAAGAGUCAAACUAUUUUAAAAAUGAAAAGGCAAAAUCAGUUUUAAGGAAAAAAAUAGAUUUAUGUAUGAUUUUCCAUGUUGGAACAUGCAUUCUAACUUAUCUACACUUUCCAGCUCAUAUACUUUUGAGUAUCCAGAAUCUUAAAAUCUCAAGAAAUUAUCACUUUAAAACUGAAAGUAGUUUUGAGUCCUUGUAAAAAGAUGAGAUUAUGGUGGUAGGGAUAUAAUAACGUCUUUGAGACGUGACCUGAACAUUGAUCUCUAUAUCUGUUGCUGUUUGUGUUCUCUCCAAAUUCAUAUUUUGAAACCCUAACCUCCAAUGUAAUGGUAUUAAGGAGUGGGACCUGGAGUUCCCAUUUGUGGCUCAAAAGGUUAAGAACCUGACAAAGCCUCUGUGAAGACAGAGAUUCAAUGCUGGGCCUCACUCAGGGGGUUAAGGACCCGGCAUUGCCGCAAGCUGCAGCAUAGGUCACAGAUGGGACUCAUAUCCAGUGUGGCUGUGGCUGUGGCAUAGGCCUGCAGCUGCAGCUCCUAUUCAAUCCCUAGCCUAGAUCUUCCAUAUGCCGCAGGUGUGGCUGUAAAAAGGAAAAUAAAAUAGAAAAAAAAAAUGGGACCUUGGGGAGCUGAUUAGGUCAAGAUGGUGCAGCUCUCAUUAAUGGAAUUAGUAACCUUAUUAAAGAGACCCCAGAAUGAUCCCUUCCCUCUUCUACCAUGUGAGGACACAGAAAAGAUGGGGAAGAGGGCCCCCACCUUACAGCAAAUGUGCCAGGACCUUGAUCUCGGAUCUUUGCAGGCUCCAGAAAUGUGAAAAGUAAAUUUCUCUUGUUGGUCUAUGGUAAUUUGUUAUACAGCCUGAAUGGACUAAGACAUCAGUGAAUCUCAAGUUGGAAUGAUUACAGGAUGGUGAGAGCUUGGCAAAUUCUAGGGCAUUCUGUUCCUUGUCCUAGGGAAACAGCAUUUCCCAAGGAAUGGUCUAUGAGACAGCUCUGUAAUAUUCAGUUUCUUAAUUCUAACACAUACCCACACCCCCAUUUUCACGUCUCUGAAAACAGACUGCACGCGACACAACGUCAAAGGAUAUCAUUAGCGACAGGACCUUGCACGAGCAAUCUUAGCUGUGCGUGGAUGAAGCCUUGUGCCUGAUGAUCCUUUCAGUCAGGCUCUCUGCAUUUGUUGUAUCUCGUGUAGUUAAACUUAACCUGGGCCCUCAACUGUUGCGCAUAAAAGAUUACACUUCAAUGUUGCAUUGAAAUGAACAUUUUUUAGAAGGCGGAAGAUUGACAGUGAAAUGACAAGUAAUCCAAUUUCAGGUGGUAGACGUUGCCAAAUUCCUCAAAGUAGAUCAUAAAAUGUUGAAAGCUAGGAGAAAUUGAUGUGAUUUAUUUAGUCAUUGAACUGUUUUAUCUGUCAAAGUCUUCCAGCUGAAUUUCAAGAGAAGCCGAUUCACUUCUAGAGAUACAUACUUAUAUCAAGUAUGUAAUAGGAAAAGCAGAUGAAACCCUAAGAGCCUUUCAUAUAAUAGAGAAUUAUAACGUCACUCCUAAAGAUGUUAAAGAUGUCAAUAUUAUGAGCAUAAUUUAUGAAAAACAACAUCUCAGUUGGAUGUUCAGUACCGUAGGAUGAUGGAAAUCUUCCUUGUAGGAUUUCCAGAAGUCUAUUAGCUUAUUAAAAGCUCCUCAAUCUUGUAAUAAAGCAAUAUACUUAGCUUUGUUUUUACCAUCAUUUCAAAAUGUGUGAAUUUAGAACUGUCCCCAACAUACACACACACGCACGCACGCACGCACGCACGCACACCAACUACUAGCAUUUACCAGUGCUGCCUCCGGUGAACAUAACUUAUUAAGGUGUGUUAACCUGGAGAAAGAUAAUUAUGGUCAUUUACCUGAUGUUCAUUUUUGUAAAUGAUAAAGUCACGGAUACAAUUGAAAGAAUAAAAGAUUGUCGUUCAGAAGACACUUCUGCUAUUUUUUCAUUAAUUUGCUGUAUGAUCAUGAGCGGAACCCCCCUCUUUCUCCAGACUGGUUUCCCCAUCUUGUCAAUAAAUGUACAUUGGUUGUACAAAAUAAUCCACAAUUCUCUUUGCUUCCCUACCCUUCAGUGCCUGCAAUGAGGUCCAUUAGCUGGGGAUAGAAUACCAUCUUCUGUGGUUAACAUAUUCUUGUAAAUCUUUUUGUGAAACAUAAAACCGCAGUUUAUUCUGUGGUUUUCAAGAAGAACAUGUGAGGGGUUCCCAUCAUGGCUCAGUGGUUAACAAACCCCAAUGGCAUCCCUGACCUCACUCAGUGGGUUAAGGAUCCACCACUGCUGUAAGCCGUGGUGUAGGUCACAGAUGCAGAUUGGAUCUGGUACUGCCAUGGCUGUGGUGUAGGCUGGCAGCUACAGCUCAUAUUUGACCCCUAGCCUGGGAACCUCCAUAUGCCACAGGUGCAGC